rnacentral:rRNA from 1 species
AGGUGGGAGGCAGUGAAAAUAGUCUUGCGGGAUUAUUAGAGCCAACGGUGAGAUACCACUCUAGUAAAGAUAAAAUUCUAACUCUAUACCGUUAUCCGGAUAGAGAACAGUUUCAAGUGGGCAGUUUGACUGGGGCGGUCGCCUCCUAAAAGGUAACGGAGGCGUGCAAAGGUUCCCUCAGGCUGGUUGGACAUCAGUCGAAGAGUGUAAAGGCAUAAGGGAGCUUGACUGCGAGACCCACAAGUCGAGCAGAGACGAAAGUCGGCCUUAGUGAUCCGACGGUUCCGAGUGGAAGGGCCGUUGCUCAACGGAUAAAAGUUACUCUAGGGAUAACA